CCUACGGAGGGCUGCAGUGAGGAAUAUUGGUCAAUGGGCGGAAGCCUGAACCAGCCAAGUAGCGUGCAGGAUGACGGCCCUACGGGUUGUAAACUGCUUUUAUACGGGAAUAACGCGCCUUACGUGUAGGGCUUUGCAUGUACCGUAUGAAUAAGGACCGGCUAAUUCCGUGCCAGCAGCCGCGGUAAUACGGAAGGUCCGGGCGUUAUCCGGAUUUAUUGGGUUUAAAGGGAGCGUAGGCCGCAUGUCAAGCGUGCUGUGAAAUGUCCGGGCUCAACCCGGGCCUUGCAGCGCGAACUGGCGUGCUUGAGUCCGCGGAAAGCAGGCGGAAUUCGUCGUGUAGCGGUGAAAUGCUUAGAUAUGACGAAGAACCCCGAUUGCGAAGGCAGCUUGCUGCAGCGGAACUGACGCUGAUGCUCGAAAGCGCGGGUAUCGAACAGGAUUAGAUACCCUUGUAGUC
rnacentral:rRNA from 1 species